rnacentral:rRNA from 1 species
UACGUAGGGUGCAAGCGUUGUCCGGAAUUAUUGGGCGUAAAGAGCUCGUAGGCGGUUUGUUGCGUCGGCCGUGAAAACCUGCAGCUUAACUGUGGGCCUGCGGCCGAUACGGGCAGACUUGAGUUCGGUAGGGGAGACUGGAAUUCCUGGUGUAGCGGUGAAAUGCGCAGAUAUCGGGAGGAACACCAAUAGCGAAGGCGGCUCGCUGGGCCAUACCUGACGCUGAGACGCGAAAGCGUGGGGAGCAAACAGG